AAAGAUGAUCAGGUUGAUAGGUCAGAGGUGGAAGCGUGGCGACAUGUGGAGCUGACUGAUACUAAUCGUUCGAGGACUUAACCAAAUUUUUAG
rnacentral:rRNA from 1 species